UCAGCCAAAGAGGCAAAGCUGCUGCACAGAGAGCAGCACAGGCCUGGAGGUGCCAUGGAGCCUCCUGGGGGCCAAAGGGAGCCCCAAAACGGGGAGUUGGGAGGCUGGGGGACCUGUGGGUGACAGCAAAGUGUGAUUCAGGUGUUCCCCUGGUGUGACUCAGGUAUUCCACCUGCUGAGUGCUGCUCCCAGAUAGAGGAUUCCAGUGGGAAGAGCAGCACCAGGAACUGUGUGGAAAAAUUCCCCCAGUCUCCUUCUGGAUGAAUGCAGCGGAUUUCUGGAUCCAGAAGGGGAAGAUUCCUGCUCUGCUGCUCCAGACUCCUGAGCAUCCACCCAUCCUCCUCAGCCAACCUACUUUGUAUUAACAGCAAUUCAAAUGUUAACAGCUGCUGUCCAUGUUCGUCAAAAAGCAGCUUAAUACAAAUAUAUGAUUAUUGUAUGAGCAUUGUAUAAAAGAUACUUGGUUGUGUCUUAAGCUAAAACAACAAUAUACACUUUUAUCCAA